rnacentral:rRNA from 1 species
UUGACCUCGGAUCAGGUAGGGAUACCCGCUGAACUUAAGCAUAUCAAUAAGCGGAGGAAAAGAAACCAACCGGGAUUGCCUCAGUAACGGCGAGUGAAGCGGCAAAAGCUCAAAUUUGAAAUCUGGCUCCUUCGGGGUCCGAGUUGUAAUUUGCAGAGGAUGCUUCGGUUGCGGCCCCCAUCUAAGUACCCUGGAACGGGUCGUCAUAGAGGGUGAGAAUCCCGUAUGGGAUGGGGUGUC